rnacentral:rRNA from 1 species
UUGAUUACGUCCCUGCCCUUUGUACACACCGCCCGUCGCUGCCCGGGACUGAGCCAUUUCGAGAAAUUUGGGGACCGUUGAUUAAACAUUUAUUUGUUUUUUUGAUGGAAACCAAUUUAAUCGCAGUGGCUUGAACCGGGCAAAAGUCGUAACAAGGUAGCUGUAGGUGAACCUGCUGCUGGAUCAUUA